rnacentral:lncRNA from 1 species
GGAAAACCGCAGGGUCCUCCUCCACCUGGAGGCCCACAGAAUCGCCCUCCUCGCUCCUUAAAUAAGCAAGGUCCACCCCCACCAGGGCCAAAGCAGCCCAAUGGUCCUCCUCCUCCUCCUCCUCCUCCUCCUCCCCCACCUGGAAAACCACAGGGUCCUCCUCCACCUGGAGGCCCACAGAACCGCCCCCCUCGUUCUUUAUAUAAGCAAGGUCCACCCCCACCAGGAGGCCCACAGCAGCCCAAUCGUCCUCCUCGUCCUGGAAACCAGCAAGGUCCACCCCAGUAAGAAGAGUGAAUGAGAAGGUGACGUCCUUCAGAACAAGACCCCAUUGGAAGAAUGCAGUCAUAACGGCAUCAUCAAUAGUCUAAUAAAAUAA